CGCGCACCGCAUCGGGGGAACGCCGCCGACGUUUACGGGGAGGAGAGAGAGAGAGAGAAGCGGCCUGGACGAGGCUACGUACUCGUGACGUUGCGUCUAGACGCCCCCUCCACCUCAACCCGAAACGACGCCCACACAACGAACCCAGCGCCGAGGGAACUUUUCUCUCUCCCUCUCCCUCUCUCACUUCUCCCCCCUCUCCCUCUCUCCGUCGUACAGACUCGUGCAGCAUGCACGUAAAUCACCGACCGUCGGACCUCUUUGUUUCCAACUCAUCCCCACAGAUGGCGACGUACGCGUUCGGCGCGCUUUCCAAGUAAACGCGCGAAUCUGCCUCGAGCGAUGCAACGUCCUCCGACUUGAUUUUCCGCCGUCUCUUCGACGAUUCUUCUAAUCAUACGUAUAUUUUUUAUUUCCUCUCAGACGACGCGGUGGCAAAGAAACGAAUGAAGCAGAGAAGGGGACGAGUAAAAUGAAAAAAAAUAUAUAUAUAUAUAUGCGAUACAGACGACGUCAUGCGAGAAGAAGCUAAUAGGCGACAAGAUGAACAAGUAUCUGAAGAAUAGAAUAGAAGCCAGUUCCUCGUUGGACCGGUAUCGAUCGCAAUCAGGUAGGAACGAUCGUAGACGAUAGAAAUAACCUCGCAUCGAUCGUUUUGCGACGUGUCGGCUUUCAACGCGAAAUUUGUUCAUUCUCGAAAGCGAGGAAGGGAAGGAAGGAAGGAAGGAUGUUAGAAAGGAAGAAACAAGGAAGAAAUUCGCGACGCAUUUCCAGCGACCUUGAAGAUCGCCAACGGGCGGUCCUUCCUUCGGAGGAAAGUAAUUUUGCUCGAAGGUGAAGCGAAGUGGAGUUGGGUAAGGGGAAGUGCGUAGUUUCCUCGGCGGUAAGCGCGCGGGCUAAUUAAAUUUCAUCGAGCCUGGUAUACGCUACCAGCACGGCCAUGGCAAACAGGAAAGGAGUUUUAAAUACCCUUUGUCAUUAAGGCGCAAGGUAAAGUUCGUAAUGGGAACUCGUGAAGCGAGGAUUACGAGAUUACCAGAUAGACUCGUCGAAAGAACGACCGUCGAACGCGACGACUCGAGAAAGGAUCGUCUCCUUUAUGCGAGACGAUACGCAGGAAACGUUCGACCUUCGCCGAUGUAGGACGAAGUUCUCGAAGCGACGACCUGUAAACAAGCCAUUCGAAUGCGAUACUCGACGAUGAAAUCCCUUCGUAGUUCGAAAGAAGCAACGUUAUGCUUCCAAGAUUCUUCUUUCUUCUCUUCUUGACUCGGGGAAAAAGAGAAAGCUAGGGAAGUUUGGCUUUCGUGCCAAAUUCGGUCGAGCGGAUUGCGAGACGCGCGACCCGGAUGAACAAAUAAAAUCGAGUUAUUCGGUACGAAGGCGUCAUACACCGCGGUUUUGCGCCAACUAAAGAAGAAAGGAUUAUAGUCAACCGAACUGUAGAUGCGUCCCACCGAAGAAGGCGAACGAAUUUCUUUCUUCGUUUGGAAGAAAAGAAACUUUUUUGGAAAAAAAAAAAUCGUAUUACUCUCGUUGAGAUCCGAAAGAAAAUCGAAAUUCGGUGCUUUGAAAAAUAGAGAAAGAUCGUGGGUACAUCGCGCGAUCGGCGAUGACAGCGUUCGUUAACCAAAUACGUACCGAUCCACGUGUCAGAGAACAGUAGAAUCGUACUCAUGAAUAUACAAAAGUUGGCUAGCUGGCCAGCGAACGGCAACAGCCGUGCAAUAACAACGAGCGAGCGCGUUGAACUUGGCAUAAAACGCGAUUAACAUUAACUCGACAAUAACUCUGCCGCAUUAACAAUUUAUAUUUCGUUCCCGGCUAUUCGUCGCAAUGCGGGUACGACAAAUUAUUCUCGAGAAAGGAGC